rnacentral:rRNA from 1 species
CAGGACAAACGCUGGCGGCGUGCCUAACACAUGCAAGUCGAACGAAGCACUGCGGAAAGAGACUUCGGUCAAUUGAAGCUUUGACUUAGUGGCGGACGGGUGAGUAAUGCAUGAGCAACCUGCCCUGGAGAGGGGGACAACAGCUGGAAACGGCUGCUAAUACCGCAUGAUGUUGCGGGGAGGCAUCUUCCUGCAACCAAAGAUUUAUCGCUCUGGGAUGGGCUCAUGUCUGAUUAGAUAGUUGGCGGGGCAACGGCCCACCAAGUCUGCGAUCAGUAGCCGGACUGAGAGGUUGAACGGCCACAUUGGGACUGAGAUACGGCCCAGACUCCUACGGGAGGCAGCAGUGGGGAAUAUUGGGCAAUGGGCGCAAGCCCUGACCCAGCAACGCCGCGUGAAGGAAGAAGGCUUUCGGGUUGUAAACUUCUUUUAUCAGGGACGAAGAACGUGACGGUACCUGAUGAAUAAGCCACGGCUAACUACGUGCCAGCAGCGGC